rnacentral:rRNA from 1 species
GUGAGGAAUUUUCCGCAAUGGGCGAAAGCCUGACGGAGCAAUGUCGCGUGAAGGAUGAAGGCCUAUGGGUUGUAAACUUCUUUUCUCAGAAAAGAAUUAUGACGGUAUCUGAGGAAUAAGCAUCGGCUAACUCUGUGCCAGCAGCCGCGGUAAGACAGAGGAUGCAAGCGUUAUCCGGAAUGAUUGGGCGUAAAGCGUCUGUAGGUUGUUUAAAAAGUAUUCUGUCAAAGAUUAGGGCUUAACCCUAGAUAGGCAGAAUAAACUUUUAAGCUAGAGUUUGGUAGAGGCAGAGGGAAUUCCAGGUGGAGCGGUGAAAUGCGUAGAUAUCGGGAGGAACACCAAAGGCGAAGGCACUCUGCUGGGCCAAUACUAACACUGAGAGACGAAAGCGAGGGGAGCAAAUGGGAUUAGAUACCCCGGUAGUCC